GAUGAAGAACGCAGUGAAAUGCGAUAAUUAAUGUGAAUUGCAGAAUUCAGUGAAUCAUCGAGUCUUUGAACGCACAUUGCGCCCCCUGGUAUUCCGGGGGCAUGCCUGUCCGAGCGUCAUUGCUGCCCUCAAGCACGGCUUGUGUGUUGGGCUUCCGUCCCUGGCAACGGGGACGGGCCCAAAAGGCAGUGGCGGCACCAUGUCUGGUCCUCGAGCGUAUGGGGCUUUGUCACCCGCUCCCGUAGGUCCAGCUGGCAGCUAGCCUCGCAACCAACCUUUUUAACCAGGUUGACCUCGGAUCAGGUAGGGAUACCCGCUGAACUUAAGCAUAUCAAUAAGCGGAGGA
rnacentral:misc_RNA from 1 species